rnacentral:rRNA from 1 species
UUCCGGUUGAUCCUGCCGGAGGCCACUGCUAUGGGAGUCCGACUAAGCCAUGCGAGUCCAGGGGGGCUUUGCCCACCGGCGGACGGCUCAGUAACACGUGGACAACCUACCCUCGGGAGGGGGAUAACCCCGGGAAACUGGGGCUAAACCCCCAUAGGCCAUGGGUGCUGGAAAGCCCUGUGGCCGAAAUUCCGCAAGGAGCCCGAGGAUGGGUCUGCGGCCUAUCAGGUUGUAGUGGGGGUAACGGCCCCACUAGCCUACGACGGGUACGGGCCCUGAGAGGGGGAGCCCGGAGAUGGACUCUGAGACACGAGUCCAGGCCCUACGGGGCGCAGCAGGCGCGAAACCUUCGCAAUGCGGGAAACCGCGACGAGGGGACUCCCAGUGCCUACGCUCAGUGUAGGCUGUUCCCGAGCCUAGAAAGCUCGGGA